UGGGGAAUUUUGGACAAUGGGCGCAAGCCUGAUCCAGCCAUGCCGCGUGCGGGAAGAAGGCCUUCGGGUUGUAAACCGCUUUUGNCAGGGAAGAAAUCUUCUGAGUUAAUACCUCGGGAGGAUGACGGUACCUGAAGAAUAAGCACCGGCUAACUACGUGCCAGCAGCCGCGGUAAUACGUAGGGUGCAAGCGUUAAUCGGAAUUACUGGGCGUAAAGCGUGCGCAGGCGGUUUUGUAAGACAGAGGUGAAAUCCCCGGGCUCAACCUGGGAACUGCCUUUGUGACUGCAAGGCUUGAGUGCGGCAGAGGGGGGAUGGAAUUCCGCGUGUAGCAGUGAAAUGCGUAGAUAUGCGGAGGAACGCCGAUGGCGAAGGCAAUCCCCUGGGCCUGCACUGACGCUCAUGCACGAAAGCGUGGGGAGCAAACAGGAUUAGAUACCCCUGGUAGUCCACGCCCUAAAACGAUGUCAACUGGUUGUUGGGAAGGUU
rnacentral:rRNA from 1 species